AGAAAAGAUCUUGCUUGCUUGGUAUUUUCGUGCCUUUGUGAAGUCAGAACUGUAGAGGCAGUGUGGUGAGCUCCAAGAGCCUUGGUUACUCUGUUUUGAGCUUGGAUUGUGAUUUUGCUGUGUUUGGGCUUUAAGCUUGUGUGGACUCUUGGAUUGGAUAGUUAGCUUAAGAGGUUCAGGUAACUUGGGGGCUGAUGCCUCUGGCGGCAGGACGCCGGAGCUUAGUUGAUUAUAUUUAUGUUGUAUGCUGACCUGACUGGAUUUGGAUGCUGUUUAUGUUUUCUGCCAUUAGUAUAAUAUUUGAGUUGAGACUUCUGUUGGACUUGUGCCUUAUUUGGGUGAGCAUGGGGUUUGUCCAUGCCGCUUUUAUGUUAGUACUUUUAGUUUGAGUUGUAUAAAAUAUCAGGGUUUGUCCGUCUACGUGUUGUAGUUCUGUGACUAGAGACAUAUUGAUGUUAGUAAUU